UACGGGGGGGGCAAGCGUUAUUCGGAAUUACUGGGCGUAAAGGGCUCGUAGGCGGCCAACUAAGUCAGACGUGAAAUCCCCAGGCUCAACCUGGGAACUGCGUCUGAUACUGGAUGGCUUGAAUCCGGGAGAGGGAUGCAGAAUUCCAGGUGUAGCGGUGAAAUGCGUAGAUAUCUGGAGGAAUACCGGUGGCGAAGGCGGCAUCCUGGACCGGCAUUGACGCUGAGGAGCGAAAGCCAGGGGAGCAAACGGG
rnacentral:rRNA from 1 species